CCUACGGGAGGCAGCAGUGGGGAAUAUUGCACAAUGGGGGAAACCCUGAUGCAGCGACGCCGCGUGAAGGAAGAAGUAUUUCGGUAUGUAAACUUCUAUCAGCAGGGAAGAAAAUGACGGUACCUGACUAAGAAGCCCCGGCUAACUACGCGCCAGCAGCCGCGGUAAUACGUAGGGGGCAAGCGUUAUCCGGAUUUACUGGGGGUAAAGGGAGCGUAGGCGGCGAUGUAGGUAAGAAGUGAAAGCCCGGGGCUCAACUCCGGGACUGCUGUUGAAACUGUAUGGCUAGAUUGCAGGAGAGGCAAGUGGAAUGCCUAGUGUAGCGGUGAAAUGCGUAGAUAUUAGGAGGAACACCAGUGGCGAAGGCGGCUUGCUGGACUGUAAAUGACGCUGAGGCUCGAAAGCGUGGGGAGCAAACAGGAUUAGAUACCCCUGUAGUC
rnacentral:rRNA from 1 species